rnacentral:rRNA from 1 species
GACGAACGCUGGCGGCGUGCUUAACACAUGCAAGUCGAACGAGACGAUUGAAAGCUUGCUUUUGAAAGUCGAGUGGCAAACGGGUGAGUAACGCGUAGACAACCUGCCGCAAAGAUGGGGACAACAGUCCGAAAGGACUGCUAAUACCGAAUGUUGCGAAAGCUCCGCAUGGAGCAUUCGUUAAAGAUGGGCCUCUACUUGUAAGCUAUCGCUUUGUGAUGGGGUCUGCGUCUGAUUAGAUAGUUGGUGGGGUAAACGGCGUACCAAGUCGACGAUCAGUAGCCGGUCUGAGAGGAUGAACGGCCACAUUGGAACUGAGACACGGUCCAGACUCCUACGGGAGGCAGCAGUGGGGAA